rnacentral:lncRNA from 1 species
GUGAAGCCCACUUUGGAAUGCUCUAAAAAUCUCUCCAAUCAACUUUGAAAGCUUGGACAAGCAAGAAGAAUAAGAGAACUUACCACCAUCAAAAAUCUCUCCUCACCUCUUCUCUACCCUAAGAAAAAAGAAUACUUUAGAGAGUAAUACGAUAAAAACUCUUUUAGAAACACUUAAGUCCAAAUCCAACUAACCCAUUAUAUGAGUUUUGAAUCAA